CAGCCGCCACGGUAACACGUAGGUGGCAAGCGUUGUCCGGAAUUAUUGGGCGUAAAGGGCUCGCAGGCGGUUUCUUAAGUCUGAUGUGAAAGCCCCCGGCUCAACCGGGGAGGGUCAUUGGAAACUGGGAAACUUGAGUGCAGAAGAGGAGAGUGGAAUUCCACGUGUAGCGGUGAAAUGCGUAGAGAUGUGGAGGAACACCAGUGGCGAAGGCGACUCUCUGGUCUGUAACUGACGCUGAGGAGCGAAAGCGUGGGGAGCGAACAGGAUUAGAUACCCCAGUAGUCCCUGUCUCUUAUAC
rnacentral:rRNA from 1 species